AUGGCGGCUUCUCCUCGUCUCCCCGUCCGAGCGGUGAACCUCGGCGGGUGGCUGGUGACAGAGGGCUGGAUGUGGCCGUCCCUCUUCGAGGGCAUACCCAACAACGAUCUCCUGGAUGGCGCGCAGCUGCAGUUCAAGUCGGUAAAGCAGAACGCCUACGUGGCCGCGGAGAAUGGCGGCGGCGCGGGGCUGGUGGCGAAUCGGCCCCGGGCGUCCGGCUGGGAGACCUUCAAGCUGUGGCGGAUCAACAAGGUGACAUUCAAUUUCAAAGUGUUCGGCAACCAGUUCGUGGGCGUCAAGAGCGACGGCUCGCUGGUCGCAACGGCGGCGUCGCCGGGCCGGUCGGAGACGUUCCGAUUGGUCCGCAGCCCCGGCGACCAGUUCAGGAGAUGA
rnacentral:rRNA from 1 species